rnacentral:rRNA from 1 species
GGGGGGGGGGGGCGGCGGGGCGAGUGGGGGGAGGGCGAGGGGAGGGAUGAGGGGCUGGCUCGUCUGAGGGUGGCGGCGGACGGGUGAGGAGCACCUGGAUAACCUAGCUCUAGGACUGGGAUAACUACGGGGACCCGGGGCUCGUACCGGCGACUAUAUUUGACCUCAGGGUUCAAGAGUGACAGGAGGGUUUGCUUGCACUACUAGAUGGAACCGCGCCGCCUUAGCUAGUUGGUACGGUAACGGCUUACCCAGGCAACGAUGCGUAGCCGACCUGGGAGGGUGAUCGGCCACACUGGAACUGAGACACGGUCCAGACUCCUACGGGAGGCAGCAGUAGGGAAUCUUCCGCAAUGGGCGAAAGCCUGACGGAGCAACGCCGCGUGAGUGAUGAAGGUCUUCGGAUCGUAAAACUCUGUUAUUAGGGAAGAACAAAUGUGUAAGUAACUAUGCACGUCUUGACGGUACCUAAUCAGAAAGCCACGGCUAACUACGUG